AUGCCCUCCAACGCCGGUGACGCCCGCCGUGACGCCCAGCUGGGAAGAGGCGUCGCCGCGGAUCUCGCGCGCCUUCCCCGUAUCGUGCGCUGCGAGGCCGGCUUUGACGCGGCCGCGCGCGAGGAGAAGGCCGCUGCCGACCAGGUCGAGCCCGAGCGUACCUCGCUCGGCCGCGUGAGGCCGAAGGACGUCGACGAUGCAGAGGUUUCUGCACGCCGGACAAUCACGGAACUCGCCGAAGUUGUCGCGCUGCAGCCGGCAUCGGAUGGAUGCGUGGAGGAGGAGGAGGUUCCGAUCAACAAGAGAAAAUCCGAUUUGGUGGAAGGAAUCCAUGUUAGCGAUGGUGAAACUGUCGUCGCGGCCCCACCGUCCAAGAUCUUGAGGAUUAGCCACAAGACGAAAGUGGUCACAGGAGGCAGCCGAGGUCGCGGCCGUGGUCCUCAUCGUGGCCGUGGCCGUGGCCGUGGACGCGGACGAAGCUCUCCAGCGCCACCUCCUUCUCCAGUGGGUGACGACGGCCAUCUCCAAGUUGAAACUAGUUCGGAAGAUGAAAGCAGUGAUAGAAGUUUGGAAUGGGACGAAGUAGACGACACAACAUUGUAUCUGCUCGCUAGUGUUUCUGAGAUGGUCGCUAACGAUAGUGAUGGUGAUACAAGAAAUAAUGCUCUUCUUCCUGCGAGGAGAACUAGGAAGGACGUCAUCAUCCAUGGUGAAGGGACUUCACAAGAAGGUGCAGCUAGAAACUGCACAGGAGGAGAACUAGGAAGGACGUCAUCAUCCAUGGUGAAGGGACUUCACAAGAAGGUGGAGCUAGAAACUGCACAGGAGGUCACCAUUGGUAUAAGGAUUUUGCAUCAGUUCCAAGAGUCAUGUUUGUCGAGCUAA
rnacentral:rRNA from 1 species